rnacentral:pre_miRNA from 1 species
AUUUCAGAAGUGCGAUAUCUAGGGGGAAAUCCUGUACGUUUUAUGUGGAUAUAUUCAAAAUCAUAAGCGUAUAGCUUUUCCCCUUUGGUGUUGUGCAAUCAAUCA